rnacentral:tRNA from 2 species
GGUGGGGUACCGAAGCGGCCAACCGGGGCAGACUGUAAAUCUGCUGGCGAAUGCCUACGGAGGUUCGAAUCCUCCCCCCACCA